rnacentral:rRNA from 1 species
GUUGGGUAGGGGAGCGUUCUGUAAGCCUGUGAAGGUGGCCUGUGAGGGUUGCUGGAGGUAUCAGAAGUGCGAAUGCUGACAUAAGUAACGAUAAAGCGGGUGAAAAGCCCGCUCGCCGGAAGACCAAGGGUUCCUGUCCAACGUUAAUCGGGGCAGGGUGAGUCGACCCCUAAGGCGAGGCCGAAAGGCGUAGUCGAUGGGAAACGGGUUAAUAUUCCCGUACUUG